UACGUAGGGUGCAAGCGUUGUCCGGAAUUAUUGGGCGUAAAGAGCUCGUAGGCGGUUCGUCGCGUCGGCUGUGAAAACCCGGAGCUCAACUCCGGGCCUGCAGUCGAUACGGGCGGACUCGAGUUCGGCAGGGGAGACGUGGAAUUCCUGGUGUAGCGGUGAAAUGCGCAGAUAUCAGGAGGAACACCGGUGGCGAAGGCGGCACUCUGGGCCGGAACUGACGCUGAGGAGCGAAAGCGUGGGGAGCGAACAGG
rnacentral:rRNA from 1 species